AGCCUAUCUCUAGCUCAACCACCCCCCUAAACAAUUAAUUACGCACCUAAACUAAAGCAUUCUCCGCACCUAGUAUAGGCGAUAGAAAAGUAACUUGACGCGAUAGAGAUCUCAGUACCGUAAGGGAAAGAUGAAAUAGCAGUGAAAAAUCGACAAAGCAGAAAACAGCAAAGAUCAGCCCUUGUACCUUUUGCAUCAUGAUUUAGCAAGAAAACCCAAGCAUAACGACUUUAAGCUUGCCCCCCCGAAACCCAAGCGAGCUACUUACGAGCAGCUUCCAUUGGAGCAAACCCGUCUCUGUGGCAAAAGAGUGGGAAGACUUGUUAGUAGAGGUGAAAAGCCAACCGAGCUGGGUGAUAGCUGGUUGCCUGUGAAAUGAAUCUUAGUUCACCCCUAAUCUCUCCCCUAAAGAUACACAAUCUACCUCCAUCUGAGGAAAAAUUAGGAGCUAUUUAAAGGAGGUACAGCUCCUUUAAAAAAGAACACAGUCUCCACGAGAGGGUAAACUAUUCCCCACCUCACAUGUGGGCCUUCAAGCAGCCAUCAACAAAGAGUGCGUCAAAGCUCUCAACCCCAAAGAUCCAAAAACAUCGUGACCCCCUCACCCUUAACAGGCCAACCUAUGAAUAUAGGAGUAUCAAUGCUAGAAUGAGUAAUUGGAAGCCCCUUCUCUUAAGCGCCAGCUUACAUUAUACAUUAUUAACAGACUCCCUCAUACCGCUACCAUAACAAGACCCGAUAUUAUAAUGCCCUGUUAACCCGACUCAGGAGCGCUUUCUAGAAAGAUUAAAAUCUGCAAAAGGAACUAGGCAAAUCAAGGGCCCGACUGUUUACCAAAAACAUAGCCUUCAGCCAACAACAAGUAUUGAAGGUGAUGCCUGCCCAGUGACUCACGUUCAACGGCCGCGGUAUCCUAACCGUGCAAAGGUAGCGCAAUCAAUUGUCUCAUAAAUCGAGACUUGUAUGAAUGGCUAAACGAGGUCCUAACUGUCUCUUUCAGAUAAUCAGUGAAAUUGAUCUUCCUGUGCAAAAGCAGGAAUACGAACAUAAGACGAGAAGACCCUGUGGAACUUAAAAAUCAAGGGCCAACGCACCAAUCCACCCACCCCACCGGGCACACUCCUCCGCGACACUGGCCCUCAUUUUUCGGUUGGGGCGACCUUGGAGAAAAAAGAAUCCUCCAAAAACAAGACCACAAAUCUUAACCUAGAGCCACAUCUCGAAGUGCAAAUAGUACCCAGACCCAAUACAAUUGAUUAAUGAACCAAGCUACCCCAGGGAUAACAGCGCAAUCUCCUUCAAGAGCCCCUAUCGACAAGGAGGUUUACGACCUCGAUGUUGGAUCAGGACAUCCUAAUGGUGCAGCAGCUAUUAAGGGUUCGUUUGUUCAACGAUUAAUAGUCCUACGUGAUCUGAGUUCAGACCGGAGCAAUCCAGGUCGGUUUCUAUCUAUGUGACACUCUUCCUAGUACGAAAGGACCGGAAAAGUAAGGCCAAUACCAACCGGCACGCCUUCUCCCUAAUUAGUGAAGCCAACUAAACUAAAAAGGGAACUCACCCGACCCCGUACCCUAGAAAAGGGUUA
rnacentral:rRNA from 2 species